rnacentral:tRNA from 2 species
GGGUAGGUUCCCGAGUGGCCAAAGGGAGCAGACUGUAAAUCUGCCGACUCUGUCUUCGAUGGUUCGAAUCCAUCCCUGCCCACCA